rnacentral:rRNA from 1 species
GAGUCGUUGUAGCAAUACAAGGCAUACGGCUCAGUAACACGGUAGUCAAUCUAACCUAUGGACGGGGAUAACCUCGGGAAACUGAGGAUAAAACCCGAUAGAUCAUUAUACCUGGAACGGUUUAUGGUCCAAAUGAUUCGUCGCCGUAGGGUGGGACUGCGGCCUAUCAGCUUGUUGGUGAGGUAAUGGCCCACCAAGGCUAUUACAGGUACGGGCUCUGAGAGGAGAAGCCCGGAGAUGGGUACUGAGACACGGACCCAGGCCCUAUGGGGCGCAGCAGGCGAGAAACCUUUGCAAUGUGCGCAAGCACGACAAGGUUAAUCCGAGUGUUUCCUGCUAAAGGAAUCUUUUGUUAGUUCUAAAACCACUGAUGAAUAAGGGGUGGGCAAGUUCUGGUGUCAGCCGCCGCGGUAAAACCAGCACCUCAAGUGGUCAGGAUGAUUAUUGGGCCUAAAGCAUCCGUAGGCUGUUCUGUAAGUUUCCGGUUAAAUCCAUUAGCUCAACUAAUGGGCCGCCGAAAAUACUGCAAAACUAGGGAGUGGGAGAGGUAGACGGUACUCGGUAGGAAGGGGUAAAAUCCUUUGAUCUAUUGAUGACCACCUGUGGCGAAGGCGGUCUACCAGAACACGUUCGACGGUGAGGGAUGAAAGCUGGGGGAGCAAACCGGAUUAUAUACCCGGGUAGUCCCAGCUGUAAACGAUGCAGACUCUGUGAUGCCGUGGCUUGUGGCCAGUGCAAUG